AGUGAACGCUGGCGGUAGGCCUAACACAUGCCAGUCGAACGGCAGCACAGUAAGAGCUUGCUCUUACGGGUGGCGAGUGGCGGACGGGUGAGGAAUACAUCGGAAUCUACUUUUUCGUGGGGGAUAACGUAGGGAAACUUACGCUAAUACCGCAUACGACCUACGGGUGAAAGCAGGGGAUCUUCGGACCUUGCGCGAUUGAAUGAGCCGAUGUCGGAUUAGCUAGUUGGCGGGGUAAAGGCCCACCAAGGCGACGAUCCGUAGCUGGUCUGAGAGGAUGAUCGGCCACACGGGAAGUGAGACACGGUCCAGACUCCUACGGGAGGCAGCAGUGGGGAAUAUUGGACAAUGGGCGCAAGCCUGAUCCAGCCAUACCGCGUGGGUGAAGAAGGCCUUCGGGUUGUAAAGCCCUUUUGUUGGGAAAGAAAAGCAGCAGGUUAAUACCCCGCUGUUCUGACGGUACCCAAAGAAUAAGCACCGGCUAACUUCGUG
rnacentral:rRNA from 1 species